AUGCCGGUAUUGGCCCUUUGUGCCAAAAGACACCAGCCCGAGUCUGUUGCGCGGAUCUGGACCAGAACUUCCGAUGGGUCUGGGCCAGAUCUGGCCCAGAUUAUUUUUGCUAUCUUUCGAUUCAUCAUUGUAAAGCGCUCCUGCUCCCUCAAGACCAUGCAAGACGACAGAAAGCGCAUCCUAACGUCAAGGUUUUCGCACAUCAGAGAAUGUAUAAGGUCGCACUGUGAUGCUUUUGACUACUGGGGUAAAGGCACACAAGUGAUCGUCACAAAUGAAGUUCCCAAAGCACCAAAUGUGUUUAUGAUGUCUCCGUGUGAAUCCUCACCUGGUUCCCUACUUGUUGGCUGUUUGGCCACUGGGUUCUCACCUGCUGAAUCUGUCAAUUUCAAAUGGAUGGAUCAGCGCGGAAAUUCUUUGACUAAUUUCAUCCAGUACCCCACAGUAGGAACUGGAAACAAGAUGUUGAAAGUCAGCCAUAUAACUAUUAAUGAAGCAGAAUGGAAUCAAAGUAAAAUUAUCUGUGAAGCAGGACACCCAUCAGGAAAAGUCACAGAAACAUUCACAACAGUGAAACCACAAACACCAACCCUGAGCUUGGUUCUUGUAACAACUUCGAAAAGUACAUCCGUCAUGUGUGUCAUUGAGGAUUUCUAUCCCAAGAAGAUCGAUGUACAAUGGAAAGUGAAUAAUACCAAAGGCAUGAGCCAGCUAAAACUGGAAAGCAAACUGAAUGAUACAGGUCAUUACACAGCAUACAGUUUUUAUGAAGUCAGCAGAGAGAAUUGGGAUGUGAAUACUCAGUAUACCUGUGAGGUCACACACCGGGGAGAACAGUUUACCACGACAGCAUACUUCAAAGCUAAAUUUGCACUGACACUGAAGCCACCAAGUCAGAGAGAAAUAUUUUUAAAAAAUGAAGUUGUCUUGGAAGCUGUUGUUUCUGGAGAUAUAAAAGAUACAGUGGAAAAAGCUUCAGUGUCAUGCUCAGUGAAAGAAACUAAAAUCGAUGUGAGACCAGGAACAGUCAAGUUUUCUAAUGACAUUUCACAGUCUAUAAAAAAACACAAUGUCACUGUUAACACAAAGAAAUGGUUUGAUGGUGAAAUGGUCACCUGCACCACCAGUGACACAAAUAAUAACAGAGACAUCAAGCAGACGAUCCGUUUUCAUAAAGGAGAUGGAAAUAAACCAAAUGUUAUCAUUUACAAACCUGAUAGUAUGGACAAAGAUCAUGUUUCUCAUGUGUGUGAGGUCACCAGUCCUAAACUCGGCGAUGUCUAUAUCAUGUGGAAAGUGGGUGAAGAGCCUUACAGAGAGGGCACAACCAGUGCUCCCAUCCAUCAAAAGGACUCCACGUCUGUUCUCAGCAUCCUAACAAUGACAAAAGAAGACUAUAAAAAGCUCAGCACCACCAUCACCUGCGCAGUCAAACAUGCCAACAUGGAUAAUAUAAAUGCUCCAUUACAAGCUUCAACAAGCCAAAGUGAGCCACCUGAGCCAGAGACAGGCUUUGCUCUGGACUGCAAUAAAGAUGUUCUGGAGGAGGAUGAGUUCAGAAGUCUCUGGUCCACUGCCACCUCAUUUAUCUUCCUCUUCCUCUUUUCUCUGACCUACAGCGCUGAGCUCAGCUUCUUCAAGUGCUGGUCUGAGGCUGAUUAG